AUACAUACAUACAUACAUAUAUAUAUAUAUAUAUAUAUAUAUGUGUGUGUGUGUGUGUGUGUAU